rnacentral:lncRNA from 1 species
GAACACGUGCUGUAGUACAGUGUGCACAGGCACUGUGGUGGGAACACAUGCAGUAGUACAGUGUGCACAGGCACUGUGGUGGGAACGCAAUGCUGUAGUACAGUGUGCACAGGCACUGUGGUGGGAACGCGUGCAGUAGUACAGUGUGCACAGGCACUGUGGUGGGAACACGUGCUGUAGUACAGUGUGCACAGGCACUGUGGUGGGAACACGUGCUGUAGUACAGUGUGCACAGGCACUGUGGUGGGAACACGUGCUGUAGUACAGUGUGCACAGUGGCUGAGGUGAGAACAUGUGGUGUAGUACAGUGUGCACAGGCACUGUGGUGGGAACGCGUGCAGUAGUACAGUGUGCACAGGCACACGCACUGUGGCAGGAUCACACACUGUGGCAGGCACACACGCUGCAGCGGGCACGUGUGCUGUGGCUGGACCGUGCUGAGUGAGAAGUGCUCAGUGUUGCCUCUGCAGCAGGCACAGCAUCCGUGCUCCCUGCACGUGACACAUCGGUUCCCACGCUGCUCCAUGCUGGGGCUGUGUAGUCAUCAGUGGGAGCCCCUGACCGCGGUGGUGCAAAACACGUCCACAGAAGGGAUCUGGUGAUGGUCGUGUUCACGGGGUUAAAUGCAGAAACGUGCUGACAUUCUGGUGGCAGGGUUCUCACCUGCCAUAAAAAAUCCGGGAGAGCAGCCCACUGGAGGUUUCCUCACGCAGGGUGCACUGGUGUGGGCACCAUUUCCCCCCAGGGCAGAGCAGGGAGUGGAGCAGGCGAGAGGCUCUGUGGUCGCUCUGCAGGCACUUGCUCUUUGUACAGAGGUCUGCACUGUCCCACCCUCUUCAUGCAUGUCACCUGUCACUUUGUACAGAGGGUCUGCACUGUCCCACCCUCUUCAUGCAUGUCCCCUGUCACUUUGUACAGAGGUCUCCACUGUCCCACCCUCUUCAUGUAUGUCGCCUGUCACUUUGUACAGGGGUCUCCACUGUCCCACCCUCUUUAUUAUGUCGCCUGUCACUUUGUACAGAGGUCUGCACUGUCCCACCCUCUUCAUGCAUGUCACCUGUCACUUUCUACAGAGGUCUCCACUGUCCCACCCUCUUCAUGUAUGUCACCUGUCACUUUGUACAGAGGUCUCCACUGUCCCACCCUCUUCAUGCAUGUCCCCUGUCACUUUGUACAGAGGUCUGCUCUGUCCCACCCUCUUCAUGUAUGUCCCUGUCACUUUGUACAGGGGUCUGCACUGUCCCACCCUCUUCAUGUAUGUCACCUGUCACUUUGUACAGGGGUCUCCACUGUCCCACCCUCUUCAUGUAUGUCCCCUGUCACUUUGUACAGAGGUCUGCACUAUCCCACCCUCUUCAUGUAUGUCCCCUGUCACUUUGUACAGAGGUCUGCACUGUCCCACCCUCUUCAUGCAUGUCCCCUGUCACUUUGUACAGGGUCUGCACUGUCCCACCCUCUUCAUGCAUGUCACCUGUCACUUUGUACAGAGGUCUGCACUGUCCCACCCUCUUCAUGCAUGUCCCUGUCACUUUGUAUAGAGGUCUGUAGUGUCCCACCCUCUUCAUGUAUGUCCCUGUCACUUUGUACAGAGGUCUGCACUGUCCCACCCUCUUCAUGCAUGUCCCUAUCACUUUGUACAGAGGUCUAC